rnacentral:rRNA from 1 species
ACGGAAGGCAGCAGUGGGGAAUAUUGCACAAUGGGCGAAAGCCUGAUGCAGCGACGCCGCGUGAGCGAAGAAGUUAUUCGUAAUGUAAAGCUCUAUCAGCAGGGAAGAAAAUGACGGUACCUGACUAAGAAGCUCCGGCUAAAUACGUGCCAGCAGCCGCGGUAAUACGUAUGGAGCAAGCGUUAUCCGGAUUUACUGGGUGUAAAGGGAGCGUAGACGGAUGUGCAAGUCUGAUGUGAAAGGCUGCGGCCUAACUGCAGGACUGCAUUGGAAACUGUACAUCUGGAGUGCCGGAGAGGUAAGCGGAAUUCCUAGUGUAGCGGUGAAAUGCGUAGAUAUUAGGAGGAACACCAGUGGCGAAGGCGGCUUACUGGACGGUAACUGACGUUGAGGCUCGAAAGCGUGGGGAGCAAACAGGAUUAGAUACCCUGGUA